CAUGCCGAAUUUGACAUCACAUUGGUAUAAUAUAAUGAAAGAGACAAAAUGCCAGGGCUGUGUGUGGCGAGUGCUGCAACACGUCUGCUAGCGACCAUGUAAAUUUCUGGAGUGAUGCUUUUGAAAAAUAGCAGCUAUCUUGAAAAGGAGGCUGACCACUGGUCAGUGCUCGCUGAUUGGCUGCCUGAGACAAACAUAUAAGUAGUAGCCCUCCUGCAGUAAAACUAAAGGGGGACCGAAUGCAUUUACUGGGUAAGAUAGAAACCUUCCCAAUGCCUGGCAGAUGACUCCCUCCUCCCUGAAUUAAUACACUAUAUUGUAUCUGCUCAUUAUUGAGCUAAUGGAAAAUGGGUACUUCUUUUGUCUUAUUUGUUUUCUCAUAGUUAGAGUAUCCCAAUACAUUUUGAAUGAUUAAAUAUAAUAUUUUCAAUACUGAAGAUAAAACUUGUUCAUCUGUGGAAUAUACAAAUUCUGUGUAAAUGAAGAUAAUUCUGUUCUGAGUGUCAAAUUUUCACAUUUUAAGGAUUAUAGCUGUGCAUAUAUAACAGGGUUUGAUUGUACGUGGACCAUGUAAUUUCAUUUCAUUUCUUACAGUUUUAUAUUUUACAGCAAGUCUUGUAUAAAUUGAACACCAGGACUAGUGCUGCCAUUCCAUAUUAAAAAAUAGUAGGUUAUGCUUUUGAUAUAUCUUCUCUGUACCAAAGGAAUAAGUCACUUGAUUAAAACCUAACCAAUGGUUGAUACCUGUCCUUAUAGAUAGAGUUACAUCAAACUCCAAGGCUAUGACAUUUAUACUGUUAAUGCUGCCACAGUAUUUCUGUUUUCUAGUAUCAAAGAUAUCAAAGGUAUACAAUAGGAAUCAAUAAUAGCAUUGUUUCAUCUGCAAGAUGGCACGUACAACAGAGCCUUCAAUUUUGUCAUGACAUAUUCGUAGUGACAAAAUCAUGGGACUUCUGAGAUGCUUCCAUUCAGAGUAGACAGGUUUUGGGAUAUGUCGGUUAAGUGAGCAAAGAUAUUUGAUAUUUUUUUCCCUUAUAUUUUAUGAGAUAGGUUCUUAUUACAUGAACAUGUAUUCAGAGGGACCUAUACCCGUAGUUGAAAAUCUGGUUUAUACAAAAUUCCAGAUUAUACAGGGUUCAGUGUAGACAAGUCGUUUACUGUAGUUUAUCACCCACCACCCAUUUUUGUUUUGCUAAUAUGAGAUAUAAAAAAGCACACACAAGCUCACAUUAUUACAAGUUUAAUGUUUUUUCCUCCUUAUAAAUUGUUGUAUUGUAUUGAUACACAGUAGUUUUCGGUCAUUUCAUCAUUACUUAUCAGAUUGUUUUCUGGAAAUGGUAAGGGCAUUUUUAAGCUCUAUUACCUGGUAUGUUGAGAUUGCCUGCUUUUUGUAGCUGGUGUAAUUUUCUAGAUUUUUUUUUAAAAAUGUGCCUUAGAAAUAUUAAGUAAUUAUAAUUUAUUUAUUUUGAUAUGAUUAAUUUGUAGAGAAUUGCUUUAGACUACUUUAUUUUGAAAUUGCAAAUACUUUCGAUAUUUAUUAAUAUUUAUUUGAAACAGGAAAGAAUAGUUUGUGGAACACUUCAAUUUUGCUACAUCUUUGUAUGAAACAGUUUAGUUUUUAAUGUGUGUUUCAAUUAUGACUAUACCAGGCUUAGUUUUUUUCUUGGAAAAAAAUAGUCUGUAAGGUUGCUAGUAAAAGGAAUUUACUAUAAAUACCUCCAAUAAAAAAGCUGAAUUGUCCACUAUAAGAGCGGAAAUAUAGUAGGUAAUUAAACAGGGAGAUCUGUUAAAAAUAGAAAUUGCUCAAAAAAUGGAAAUUAGGUUUGAUGAAGAAUGAUGGUGCCAAGUGGUAUUAUAUUGAGGCUUUACUGUAUAAAGUAAAAAAAAGGGAAGGAGUGGCGUUAUACUGAGGUUUUACUGUAUAAAGUAAGAAAGGGAAAGAGUGCGUUAUACUGAGGUUUUACUGUAUAAAGUGAGAAAGGGAAAGAGAGGCAUUAUACUGAGGCUUUACUGUAUAAAGUAAGAAAGGGAAGGAGUGGCAUUAUACUGAGGUUUUACUGUAUAAAGUAAGAAAGGGAAAGGGUGGCGUUAUACUGAGGUUUUCCUGUAUAAAGUAAGAAAGGGAAAGAGAGGCGUUAUGCUGAGGUUUUACUGUAUAAAGUGAGAAAGAAUGGCAUUAUAUUUAGGUUUUACUGUAUAAAGUGAGAAAGAAUGGCAUUAUAUUUAGGUUUUACUGUAUAAAGUGAGAAAGAAUGGCAUUAUAUUGAGGUUUUACUGUAUAAAGUCAGAGGGAAAGGGGGUGUUAAAUUGAAGUUUUAAUCUAUAAAGGAUGGAAGGAGUGGAAUUAAAUAAGGGUUCUAAUGUAUGUAAAAUGUCCGGAGGGCAUUAUAAGAAAGUUUUACUGUAAAAAGUAGAAAGAGAUAGAUAUUAAAUACAGAGACCUGACUUUAAGGACAUCAUAUAUUAAAUGAUUCGUGUUUUAUGAUGGCCUUACCAUCACCGUCAUAUACAACAAAAGGAUUCAGUCCUGUUUAAUGUCGGUAUAGGCAGGAUUCAUUGUACCAAAGUUAUAUUGUAUAGUGUUUGAAUUAUCUUAAUACGAGAAUCAUAUUGUAUGGAAGUUUUAUAGACAGAGUGACAGCAGAGUCAUGUUUGUAUUUACUUGACUAAUUUAUAUGUAGCUUUUUGUAAUAAAUAAAAAAGAUAUAAACAGAUCUACAAGAAUUACUUUGUAAAAUAAACGGUUCAUUCGUUACAAUUAGGUUGGUGUUUUCUAGGUUUCUGUUGUGUUUAAGGAUGUUAGUUCACAUAAAGUUCAACACUAACAUAUUGUGAAAGGCUCGUCUCUACAACCAGAAUGUUAGGCUAGUGAUGUCACUACCUUUGAUGUGGCUAGCAUGGUCCAACCUCUAUUGAAGUGUUUAACAUAUCUUCAGAAAAAUUUCAUGUGUAAUCAAUAACUUAAUAACAAUAGGUACAAGAAUUGAAAAUACAAAACUUAAAACAAAUCAAAAUGUUUUACUAGUAUAAUAUAAUAUUAUAUUAGUCUGAUGAAUUAAACGUGCACAGGUUCUAACAGAUUAAUUACGAGCCAAUGUUUGGAUAUCAUGUCAUGAUUUGAAUUAGUUCUCAUCGAAUAAAGCAUUGAAAACAUACUCCAGUUACAGUUGUCCCACUAAUACAGUUGUCCCACUAUCUGGUCAGUGUGUUGAGAGACUGAUUUCUCAUUUUCUAUUCCUGACCAGUAAGUUAGCUUUUGAAUUAAUUAAGCCAAUUUUCCUGGGUCAUUUCAUGUCUGGAUUGACAGGUGUUCACUACAUAUCUCUCUUGGCGAAUGGAUGUGGUUCUGUUUUACCAUUAAAUGGAUAUACUGUACUAGAUUUCUUUAUAUUCUGUACUAUCAAGCUUUGCAUUAAUGAGGUAAAAUUAACUGCUGUAAUGUAGAAAAAUUGAUUAUUUUGUGUAUAACAUUUACUUGGCUUCUAAGGAAUGAAUGCGGAAUGUAAAAAAUAUAUUUUAUUGAAGACACAACUGUUUUGAAGUUGGACCUGUUGUACUAUGUGUUAAAGUUCUUUGUGAAUUUUACAUCUGUAUAAAUUUAUAAAUCUCCAUGCAGAAAUGUGUUGGUUAAGGUUGAAUAAAUAUUGUGAAAUCCUGCUAGUAUUUACCAUAUAAUUUUGUAUUUAUAAAAAUACUGUAUAAAUAUCUUGUUUUGUAAAUAAUAUUUGUAAGAAUAUUUUUAAUAGUGAUAUACAUUAUAACAUGCUCUAUAUAUUUACGAAAUAUUUGCUGUCCAUCUCUUGUGUUCUUGUGAUGUGGCCGCUCCAGUCACACGUGAUGCCAUCAGUAACAUUAAUAAAUAGGAUUUCAAACAAA
rnacentral:lncRNA from 1 species